GCAAGCGCUCGGCAGGGGCCAUCUUUGUUCCAGUUUCGGAGCUCUCCCUCUUCAGCUUGUCGUUAGUGUUGCUUUCUGAGCUGACCUUCUCUGCUGUACCGUGGUAACAAAGGAAAUUAAACGUCAGCUUGAGUCAAUGCGUCCAGUACCAGAGGCAGCAAAGCAGCCCUGCAGCAUGAUAGAAUCUCCACUAUGUUUUACUGUAGUGGUCUCCUCCUUGGCCUUCAUCCAUGGAGUUGUACUUGGUUUAGUGUGCGGCAUAUGGUAUGGGCUGAAACCAUCAUUUCAGAUUGCUCUAGGUCAGCCCUGAAGCUCCAUCUGCAUCAGCGUUCUUCGGCAAUCGCCUCGUAGGCUACAACGCAAUUGCAUAGUUAUAAUUGAGAAGUUAAUUUUGAAGUGUUAUGUUUUUUAAUAACAGCAUUUCUGAUGCUCUCAGACAGCUCUUUUGUCUUUGCCAUUGUGAAAAAGAUACUGGAAACAGUCAGCCCCUUUUGAUGCAGUAAAACCAAUAUGAACUAAUUUCAAUUCAUCAAAA